rnacentral:rRNA from 1 species
AUACGUAGGGGGCGAGCGUUGUCCGGAAUGACUGGGCGUAAAGGGCGUGUAGGCGGCCGAUUAAGUCUGGAGUGAAAGUCCUGCUUUCAAGGUGGGAAUUGCUUUGGAGACUGGUUGGCUUGAGAGCGGAAGAGGUAAGUGGAAUUCCCAGUGAAGCGGUGAAAUGCGUAGAGAUUGGGAGGAACACCAGUGGCGGAGGUGACUUACUGGGCCGUAACUGACGCUGAGGCGCGAAAGCGUGGGGAGCGAACAGGAUUAGAUACCCUGGUAGUCCACGCGGUAAACGAUGAAUGCUAGGUGUAGGGGGUAUCGACCCCUCCUGUGCCGGAGUGAACACAAUAAGCAUUCCGCCUGGGGAGUACGGCCGCAAGGUUGAAACUCAAAUGAAUUGACGGGG